AGUAACUUCAGGGUGUUCUAGGUGCGUCUCCUUGUAAAGGAAAUCUAGCGUUCCUCCAUCAAAAAAUGAGGUGCUGUUUUCAGAGAGAGAGAGAAGUUGUUCUCUGUCAUUUUCACUAACACUCGGAUUCAUUGGAACUGAUAAAUACAAGGAACUUCUGCUGUGAACUAUGAGGUCCCUGAGGGUGGGGGAUGGAAUAAGCUGUUUCAGGAGCUGUGUGAGCUGUCCUGCACACUGAAGACCUUCUGGGCUAAGAAAAUUCUCCUCUGCUGGCUUGUAAGAACCCUAGUAGGAGCUGACAGCUGCAAGAAGUAAGGCAGAAGUUGUGAGCAGAGCCAAGUAAGGGAAGAAG
rnacentral:lncRNA from 1 species